rnacentral:rRNA from 1 species
CCUACGGGAGGCAGCAGUAGGGAAUAUUGCUCAAUGGGGGAAACCCUGAAGCAGCAACGCCGCGUGGAGGAUGAAGGUUUUAGGAUUGUAAACCUCUUUUGGGAGAGAAGAAAAUGACGGUAUGUCACGAAUAAGCAACGGACAACUCCGAGCCAGCAGCCGCGGUAAUACGGAGGGUGCAAGCGUUACUCGGAAUCACUGGGCGUAAAGGGUGCGGAGGCGGGCUUGUAAGUCAGAUGUGAAAUCCUGAAGCUUAACUACAGAACUGCAUUUGAAACUGUGAGUCUAGAGUGUGGGAGAGGUAGGUGGAAUUCUUGGUGUAGCGGUAAAAUCCGUAGAUAUCAAGCGGAAUACUCAUUGCGAAGGCGACCUACUGGAACAUUACUGACGCUCAUGCACGAAAGCGUGGGGAGCAAACAGGAUUAGAUACCCUUGUAGUC